rnacentral:lncRNA from 1 species
GGCCAACCGUUCUCUGUUCGCGAAUUCAAAGUAAUCUUUUUUCUUUUGCUUCUUUGUUUUGCUCACUUGUGUUUGUUUGAAACUGAUUUUAAUUCUUUGUUUGGAUUCAACGUACUUGUUUGUUUUUAUUCUCUUUUUGUUCACGUUUUUUUUAUGUUAUCAAAACAUAGAAGACUAAUGUUUCCUGUCAUCAAAGUAUUGAAGACUCAUACAUUGUAGUUUUUGUUCACACAAAGAAUCAUACAUCGCAUAUAACAUGUGUAUAUCAUUGACUCAAGUAGGAGUAUAGUUUUUUGUUAAUGAACUUCUGAGAAUUUUGAUUUUAAUUUGUUAUUGAUGGUCAGUCAAGUUUUUGUAUCUAACAUGAUGUCUCUCUUUAUAUGCUCUGGUUUAUAGGUAUUGGUUGUUGUAUGUCUUUUUAUUUGCCAUGGUUUAAUUGCAAGUUUGAUCGUAUUGUCCAAACUAUUGCAGGUGUAUGCUACAGGAUCUAACUCCUAACCCAUCUUCCCAAUUCAUGGUGAUUACUUACUUGAUCCGAAGACAAAAAGGAUGAAUACUUGCAAUCUUUUAUUGUAUUUUGUGUUUUCAAGAUCAAAACAUUCUGUUUUUUUUUUGUUUAUUUCAUGAAUUGGAAGUUUCUUUUUGUGACUUUUGAAUCAGAUGUAUACUGGAAAAACAAUGUUAUUCUGUAAAAGUUAUAUAAGCAUGUAUUAAAACAUAUAUUUGGUACUUAAACAUAUUAUAAAUAUAUUAAAUCCUAUUAAAAAUUAGGUCCCGCGUAUAUCCCUAUUACUCUCCGAUUUUUUGGUAACUUGCUAGGUCCGGAGUAGCCGUCCGACUAGCGCAUAGCGUAGUUCCGAACAGGGCUCCGGACCAAAAAAUUGAACACAGUUAUAUGGUUAAAAUCUUGUAUUAUAUACAUCCCAUAUAAUUUCUCGUAUAUUUCGGUUUGAUUCAGACCAGUUGAAUGAAAUUGAAUCGGUUUGGUCGAUAAAUUGCGCUUUUGUUUGUGUCCCUAAAACCUCCUCGCCU